GUCUACAGCCAUACCACCCUGAACGUGUUCCAUCUUGUCUGAUCUUGGAAGCUAAGCAGGGCCACACUUGGUUAGUAUUUGGGUGGGAGAUACCAAUGCCAAAAGGAGAGAAUGGACA
rnacentral:rRNA from 1 species